rnacentral:rRNA from 1 species
UACAGAGGGUGCGAGCGUUGUCCGGAAUCACUGGGCGUAAAGGGCGCGUAGGCGGCCUGAUAAGUAGGGGGUGAAAUCUUGCGGCUCAACCGCAAGGCUGCCUUCUAAACUGUCAGGCUGGAGCACGGUAGAGGCAGAUGGAAUUCCCGGUGUAGCGGUGGAAUGCGUAGAGAUCGGGAAGAACACCCGUGGCGAAGGCGGCUCUCUGGGACGGUACUGACGCUGAGACGCGAAAGCGUGGGGAGCGAACAGG